rnacentral:sRNA from 1 species
GAAGCAGGACCUAGGUGGCGGCGGUGGUACCGGCUGCAAUGGUGUCCAAUCCCGUUCAUGGCCUGCCCUUUCUUCCGGGCACGUCCUUUAAGGACUCUACGAAAACAGCCUUCCAUAGAAGCCAGACGCUGGGCUACAGGAAUGGCUAUGCAAUUGUUCGACGUCCAACAGUUGGGAUAGGCGGAGACCGGCUCCAGUUCAACCAGCUGUCCCAGGCUGAGCUGGAUGAGUUGGCCAGUAAGGCACCAGUCUUAACUUAUGGCCAACCUAAACAAGCCCCACCUGCGGAUUUUAUUCCUGCGCAUGUGGCCUUUGACAAAAAGGUUAUUGGGGAACAGGUGGUGUUUGGUUACAUGACUAUUGUAAAAGGGGUUGAGGUCUUGAUUUGAUUCUCAGCUUGGUCGCUGUUGGUGUAAAGAAGAGCUACUGAUAUGUGUAUAUUAAUUUUGUAU